rnacentral:rRNA from 1 species
UACGUAGGGUGUAAGCGUUGUCCGGAAUUAUUGGGCGUAAAGAGCUCGUAGGCGGUCUGUCGCGUCGGAUGUGAAAAUCCAGGGCUCAACCCUGGACCUGCAUUCGAUACGGGCAGACUAGAGUUCGGUAGGGGAGACUGGAAUUCCUGGUGUAGCGGUGAAAUGCGCAGAUAUCAGGAGGAACACCGGUGGCGAAGGCGGGUUGCUGGGCUGAUACUGACGCUGAGGCGCGAAAGCCAGGGGAGCGAACGGG